rnacentral:rRNA from 1 species
AUACGUAGGUGGCAAGCGUUAUCCGGAAUUAUUGGGCGUAAAGAGGGAGCAGGCGGCAGCAAGGGUCUGUGGUGAAAGCCUGAAGCUUAACUUCAGUAAGCCAUAGAAACCAGGCAGCUAGAGUGCAGGAGAGGAUCGUGGAAUUCCAUGUGUAGCGGUGAAAUGCGAAGAUAUAUGGAGGAACACCAGGGGCGAAGGCGACGAUCUGGCCUGCAACUGACGCUCAGUCCCGAAAGCGUGGGGAGCAAAUAGGAUUAGAUACCCUAGUAGUCCACGCCGUAAACGAUGAGUACUAAGUGUUGGAUGUCAAAGUUCAGUGCUGCAGUUAACGCAAUAAGUACUCCGCCUGAGUAGUACGUUCGCAAGAAUGAAACUCAAAUGAAUUGACGGGG